GGUGGACGCAGGACUGAGAAGGCCCAAUGGAAGUAAUGUUUGGGAAUCUCUGUAAGGAAGAAGGGAAGAGCCUAACUUCUGCAUCAGGAGAUGGUGUGCAGAUGUAAGAUUUCUUUUAAAGAACCAAAUACUUGUCAGCAUGCAGAAGCUACAAUGAAAACAUUACAUAUUGCCUUUUAUGGAAUUGAUUAUAUAAAAAGAAAAGCUCAAGAAGAUUUUCUUCUUGUCAAUGCGUCUUUGAUUUAGAAAGCUGAGAAAAAAUGCAUGAUUUAGUUUACUUCAAAAAAUCUGACUUAAGUCACUAAGAUCAGUAUGAAUGUCAAAUAACCCAGACGUGAUACUCAUUCUUCCCAGAACUCAGCAAGAAGGAGCCCCAUGAGCCAUAAGAAAAGCUUAAUGAAGACCAGACACAUCCUGAAUGGGCGCCAUGCAGUAGUAACUAGGAAGCUCUGCACAAAGAUUUGUUAAUAUAGGCAUCCUCUGACUGCUUCUGGACCACCAUCAGAUGUCAGCAUAAGGAAUGUCCACGUAACACUGCAUGAUGGUGCUGCAUCCUGCUUCAAAGCCUCCUGUGACUCCUCAUGCUGUCAGAGGGCAUUUAAAGCUCACUAGCUUUUAGCUCAGUCCACAGGGCUUGCCCUUACUGGGCCAGUCUCGGUUCAUGGAACACAUAGGGCUCAGUUACAGAAUAUUAGCAUGCUGACUGGCAUCUUAGAGGAAAGAUCGAAGCCAGAGCUUGGGCAUCGGACGGGAGCUGCUCGGGUUCCCACACGGAUCCAGCUGAAGAUUCAGCUUGCCCAUCAAGACAAUUUCAUCUCUCAAAUGAAUAAUGGCUGGAAGAUUUAUUAGAGGAGCGACAGCAUGAUAAAUGAGUUGUCUGUCAUCUUUACAUCCUUCCUCUUAUGGCAGCUGAAUGCUAUCGCUCAUUUCUUCAGAUGGAAUUCAGGUGUAAAGGAAAGAAGAAAUGAGAAGAAGUUAAAUGACUCCUUUAACAGAAAGAAGAACUUCAAGCAGCGCUUGCACACUGAUUUCUACCUAUGCUUGUAUAAAGUCCACACAUACUAUUUUCUAUACCAUGUGAUUUUUUUGCAUUUUUUUCUGAGCCAUCAGUAUAUGCAGUCAUUUGGAAUAGAUAGGGUAAUUUGGAUACACAGGGAUAAAGAUGGAGCAGAAACCAGGGAACAGUAAACCAAUGACUGCCCCAACUUUAGACCCAUCCCACGUGAGAAAGCCAAUCCCUGACACCGCGACUGAUACUCUGAUCUGCUCUGCUUUCAGACAGGAGCCUAGCAUCACUGUCUCCUGACAGGCUUUAUCCAGCAGCUGCAUCUGCAAACAGAUGCAGAGACCCACAGCCAAACAUCAGGUGGAGCUUGGGGAGUCUUGUGCGAAAAUCACUUUCUAAAUAAGUGACUCCUAAAAAUAACAUGCUUCUGGAUAGGAGAGGGGAUAUUGUAUUGAUUCACCCCAUCUUGUGUCACAAUUUACAUGAUUUCUUUUUAAAAGUCCUUGGCAAAUUAAAACAUUUUAUUUGACAAAUAAAAUCGUUUAUGGAUUGGC
ensembl:lincRNA Gm9871 predicted gene 9871